AAAGCAAAGACUUACUCUGGACAUUAGCAUUUGAAUGGAGCAAGGGACUCUUUUCAGGGCUUAGUGUAAACACUCUUAAUUGCCGGUGCUUAGCAGAAACAAUGGGAGGAGUGCUGCCGAAGGGGGAAAUAAAGUGUAUUUAAGUUGAGCCUCUGGACGGACGAAGGCGUGUACCCAGCUAGACACACAGACUGCCAGGGUCUAUGUCUAUGGGUCACCCUUGGCUCCUUUUUUCCCGGGAAAAACUCUGUCAAGUUGGAACUAUUCAGUGGCCAUAACCAACUGUAAAAUGCCAUAAAUGGAACAAUAUGAUGACUGGAACUACCCAGUGUCCUUCAGAGUAACAACCGGCUCUACAAAAAGAAAGCUGGAUAUAGUGCACAAUACAAUUCUAGCUAAGGAAAGGAGCUGGCUUGGAAGAGAAGGGGGCUGAGACUGAAAGCGAACACAGCACAAGAGAAAUGUGAGGUGCUGCCUUAUAAACUCUGUAUUUCUCCAGCUUUGUCAGUUUAUUCAUAAUAUGUCUUUAAAGUUAAUAAAUAAACAGUCUGGGUAUUUUUUUCCAUUCUUUUGCCAUUUGUAAAAUUUAUUCAAACCAUUUUUUUCCAGCAGUUUUUUGUCUUUCUUUUUCCAUGGCAACUAAGAGCCAAGGCUCCUUUGCAGAAGCAACACAG